ACUAGUUGUGGGGUCCUUUCCACGGAUUCCGUGACGCAGCUAACGCAUUAAGUUCCCCGCCUGGGGAGUACGGCCGCAAGGCUAAAACUCAAAGGAAUUGACGGGGACCCGCACAAGCGGCGGAGCAUGCGGAUUAAUUCGAUGCAACGCGAAGAACCUUACCAAGGCUUGACAUACACGAGAACGGGCCAGAAAUGGUCAACUCUUUGGACACUCGUGAACAGGUGGUGCAUGGUUGUCGUCAGCUCGUGUCGUGAGAUGUUGGGUUAAGUCCCGCAACGAGCGCAACCCUCGUUCUAUGUUGCCAGCACGUAAUGGUGGGAACUCAUGGGAUACUGCCGGGGUCAACUCGGAGGAAGGUGGGGAUGACGUCAAAUCAUCAUGCCCCUUAUGUCUUGGGCUUCACGCAUGCUACAAUGGCCGGUACAAUGGGCUGCGAUACCGUAAGGUGGAGCGAAUCCCAAAAAGCCGGUCCCAGUUCGGAUUGAGGUCUGCAACUCGACCUCAUGAAGUCGGAGUCGCUAGUAAUCGCAGAUCAGCAACGCUGCGGUGAAUACGUUCCCGGGUCUUGUACACACCGCCCGUCAAGUCAUGAAAGUCGGUAACACCUGAAGCCGGUGGCCUAACCCCUUGUGGGAGGGAGCUGUCGAAGGUGGGAUCGGUAAUUAGGACUAAGUCGUAA
rnacentral:rRNA from 1 species